rnacentral:rRNA from 1 species
CCUACGGGAGGCAGCAGUGAGGAAUAUUGGUCAAUGGACGAGAGUCUGAACCAGCCAAGUCGCGUGAAGGAUGACUGCCCUAUGGGUUGUAAACUUCUUUUAUAUGGGAAUAAAAUGUUCCACGGGUGGGGUUUUGUAUUUACCUUAUGAAUAGGGAUCGGCGAACUCCGUGCCAGCAGCCGCGGUAAGAGGGAGGAUCCGAGCGUUAUCCGGAUUUAUUUGGUUUAAAGGGAGCGUAGGUGGCUUGGUAAGUCAGUUGUGAAAGUUUGCGGCUCAACCGUAAAAUUGCAGGUGAAACUGGCAGUCGUGAGUACAGUAGGGGUGGGGGGAAUGCGUGGUG